rnacentral:rRNA from 1 species
CCCAGACUCCUACGGGAGGCAGCAGUGAGGAAUAUUGGUCAAUGGGCGCGAGCCUGAACCAGCCAAGUCGCGUGAGGGAAGACGGUCCUAUGGAUUGUAAACCUCUUUUGUCGGGGAGCAAAAGACGCCACGCGUGGCGUUCCGAGAGUACCCGAAGAAAAAGCAUCGGCUAACUCCGUGCCAGCAGCCGCGGUAAUACGGAGGAUGCGAGCGUUAUCCGGAUUUAUUGGGUUUAAAGGGUGCGCAGGCGGAGGUGCAAGUCAGUGGUCAAAUUGCGGGGCUCAACCCCGUACUGCCGUUGAAACUGGCAGUCUCGAGUUGGAGAGAAGUAUGCGGAAUGCGCGGUGUAGCGGUGAAAUGCAUAGAUAUCGCGCAGAACUCCGAUUGCGAAGGCAGCAUGCCGGCUCCACACUGACGCUGAGGCACGAAAGCGUGGGUAUCGAACAGGAUUAGAUACCCGAGUA